GGUUCUAUGGUGUAAUGGUUAGCACUCUGGACUUUGCAUCCUGCUAUCCGAGUUCAAAUAUCAGUAUGACCU